rnacentral:lncRNA from 1 species
AAGUUCAAGAUCCAAAGUGCACCGACAAGGCGACAACACAACAGCAUCCAAAGUUCAGGAUCCAAAGUUCAAGAGGCAAGUGCGACAAGGAAACAUAAAUAAGUCUUGCUGGGGGCACAACACAACAAACCCCUACAUAAAACAAUAGCGCUAGUCAGGCUCCAGACGGGGCGGUGGAGUCCGGUGCUCGGCGAUGAUCCUACUGAUGCUGCCUCCAAUGCUGUAAGAAGCCACAAAUUUUGUAUGUCGCGUCAGCAAUCGCUGGAAGGUAUCAUACAAGGUAAACAUGCUUGGAAAUGCGCAAGAGUUUGAUUGUGAAUGUGGUCAAUUUCACACACGGGCUUGCUUUGCAGCCAUGUGCUUAAGGCACCAGUGGCAUUUUUAAGUUUGAUGUACCAAAAACUGCCAACCUGCACUUCAUUCUUCAUUACAGGUGCUUGACUUCAUCCGUGUGAAGGAAAUUCCAGCUAAGCAUAUACCGUAUAGUAAAACGGUGGACCAAAGAUGUUCGCGACAUUCUCUUGGCACACCUUUCCGUGCUGAUCUAGCCUUUCGACCUGUCAUUCCGGGCAUCUGCUUUUGAUGUGCUAUUUGCUCUCUUUUCAUAAGUGUAGCUUACAUGAUCAGUUUUGUACGUGCACUAUACUUCUGUGUUGUAUCUUUGUUUUUCAAGAAGCGGCAGCAUGCUCCUGUCAGUGUUAUUUUAUUGCUAUCCAUUAGCAUGUGCUAAGAGAAGUGAAAAGGGUGUAUAUGCAUGUACCAAUGCUAAGUAAUUUAGCUGCUUUCAUCAAUUCAGCAACAUUUGUGAGUGCAUGUGUUGCCCAGACCACAGAAAGCAAGUGAAAGAUGCCGCCACCUACCAGGCACCACCGAACUUUCUCUCAGGAGGCGCCACGAGGUGGCGCCCCAACCCCUAGUGUGGAUCAAUCAUGUUCUAAGCAAAUCUUCACAAAAAUGCCCACAUGUCAUGUAAGAUAGAACAUUUAUAUGAUUAUUAAUAUUAAUCGGGUAGUCCAUUGGGUGACCCAUGGGUAGGUCCUUGUGCCCAUACCCUACCCAUGACUAAACGGGUUACCCAUCGGAUUUUACCCAUGGGUCAAGUUGCAACCCAUACCCUACCCAUUAGGGUCGGGUGCCCAUGGGCAACGCUGCCCAUGGGUCAGAUUGCCGGGUCCCCAUACGAAAUGCUUAGAAUGAGGACAAGGUUCUGCACAAUAUACCGACGAGACAAUGACAAAGAAACAAGUGAACUACCUGCCUGGGGAGAUAUGAAGCAACCACGCAAACCUACUCGCUGCAAGUGUAGAGGAUCACUGGAGAAACAAAAGCCGGCUGAAUUGAGACUGGGUGCAGGGGCUUGAGUUUUACAAAAAUUAGUCGGCAC